AGUGAACGCUGGCGGUAGGCCUAACACAUGCAAGUCGAACGGCAGCACAGUAAUAGCUUGCUCUUACGGGUGGCGAGUGGCGGACGGGUGAGGAAUACAUCGGAAUCUACUUUUUCGUGGGGGAUAACGUAGGGAAACUUACGCUAAUACCGCAUACGACCUACGGGUGAAAGCAGGGGAUCUUCGGACCUUGCGCGAUUGAAUGAGCCGAUGUCGGAUUAGCUAGUUGGCGGGGUAAAGGCCCACCAAGGCGACGAUCCGUAGCUGGUCUGAGAGGAUGAUCAGGCAGAUUGGAACUGAGAAACGGCACAGACUCCUACGGGAGGACGCAGUGGGGAAUAUUGGACAAUGGGCGCAAGCCUGAUACAGCCAUACCGCGUGGGUGAAGAAGGACUUCGGGUUGUAAAGCCAUUUUGUUGGGAAAGAAAAGCAGCAGGUUAAUACCCCGCUGUUCUGACGGUACCCAAAGAAUAAGCACCGGCUAACUUCGUG
rnacentral:rRNA from 1 species